rnacentral:rRNA from 1 species
GCAAGUCGAACGAGAAAGGGAUUGCUUGCAAUCCUGAGUAGAGAGGCGCACGGGUGAGUAACACGUAGAUAAUCUGCCUUCAAGCCUGGGAUAACUAUUCGAAAGGGUAGCUAAUACCGGAUAAAGUCGAUUCACAUAAGUAAAUUGAUGAAAGAUUGCCUCUUCUUGAAAGCAAUUGUUUGGGGAUGAGUUUGCGUACCAUUAGCUUGUUGGUGGGGUAAAGGCCUACCAAGGCAACGAUGGUUAGCUGGUCUGAGAGGAUGAUCAGCCACACUGGAACUGGAACACGGUCCAGACUCCUACGGGAGGCAGCAGUGAGGAAUUUUGCGCAAUGGGGGCAACCCUGACGCAGCAACGCCGCGUGAGUGAAGAAGGCCUUUGGGUCGUAAAGCUCUGUCAACAAGGAAGAAAUUACAAUUAUUUAAUAGAUAAUUGUAUUGACGGUACUUGUGGAGGAAGCGCCGGCUAACUCCGUGCCAGCAGCCGCGGUAACACGGGGGGCGCAAGCGUUAUUCGGAAUUAUUGGGCGUAAAGGGCGCGCAGGCGGUCUUGUCCGUCAGGUGUGAAAGCUCGGGGCUCAACCCCGGAAGCGCACUUGAAACAGCAAGACUUGAAUACGGGAGAGGAGAGAGGAAUUCCUGGUGUAGAGGUGAAAUUCGUANAUAUCAGGAGGAACACCGAUGGCGAAGGCAUCUCUCUGGACCGAUAUUGACGCUGANGCGCGAANGCGUGGGUACCGAACGGGAUUAAAUACCCCGGUAGUCCACGCANUAAACGUUGUACACUCGGUGUGGCGGAUAUUAAAAUCUGCUGUGCCCAAGCUA